GAGGCCCUGGCAUCAGAGCAUGGCUUGCCUGAGAGUGAGGGAAGGCCAGUACGUGAAUGACACACAUGUAUUACAUCAGGAGUGCUGCCGACCACCUUAAAGCUUUUAGAGGUCUGGUGCUCUGGAUAACACAUGGAUACCUGGAAGAAUAGGAAGACCUAGAGGGCAGAGUCAUAGAAAGAAGACACAGUUACCUUCUGCUCUGUUUCUUCCUUUGGGAAUGGAACUGAGGAGGCCUCACAUGCAUCAGACAAGUGCUCUGUUACCGAGCUCUACCCCUUGUCUCCUGAUCCUGCAAAUCUGCUGCGUCUUGAGGAAUACUUCUUGAGGAAUUCUAGAAAUACAAACCUUCACUUCACAUACAGAUAGCCACUGUGAUAUCAUUUAUAA